UACGUAGGGGGCAAGCGUUGUCCGGAAUCAUUGGGCGUAAAGCGCGUGUAGGCGGUUCGGUAAGUCUGCUGUGAAAGUCCAGGGCUCAACCCUGGGAUGCCGGUGGAUACUGUCGGACUAGAGUACGGAAGAGGCGAGUGGAAUUCCCGGUGUAGCGGUGAAAUGCGCAGAUAUCGGGAGGAACACCAAUUGCGAAGGCAGCUCGCUGGGACGUUACUGACGCGGAGACGCGAAAGCGUGGGGAGCAAACAGG
rnacentral:rRNA from 1 species